GCCGGGCGGCCGGGCUGGGCAGCGCGGCGGGAGCAGCGCUCCGAGCAGAACGCCUGUCCAGGAUGCCAGCACCGCUCAGAAAACUGCGGGGAGAGAGACCCGGCGCCACGGCCCCAGCCAGCAGCACGAAGAGCUGACGAACAAGAUCAUAAUGGGGCAGUCAGGGACACCAUUCGUCUUUGCGAUUCCUUCAGCCGGUUUGGUGGCUGACCAUGACCUCGUAGCUGCGACCACAGCUACGGAUGAGGAGCCAAAGCGGAGCACGGGGCCGUGCACCCCAGCUGCUGGGCAAGCAUCGUGUGCCCGCUGCAGCUGAAGAAGGGAGCAGUCACUGCGGACAAGGGAGUGCUGGGCACGCAGAGACCUGGAGGCAGCUCUGCAUCAGCCCACAGCUGAGUGGGGUGGAAGUGAUGCUGGAGGCCGUGUUUGGGAAAGGGAGGACAUCUGCGCUCGUGUGGGGUGUUCUGACACACAGUAAUUUCAGUUCUUUAAGUUGCAUAGGCUAUGUUUACUAAGAACUCUCCUUUUCUGCUAAUGGUUUAGAAAAUAUUUCAGUAUCGCCAUCUCCAUCAUCUUCUUCCUUCCUGGUUCCAAAUCAAUAAAAACUUAGUCCUUUCCUACAUUAUUUUAAGGAUACUAUCUCCAUCUAACAGAAGUUCACACAUUAUCAGUAGGAAUGCUUGCUUUACAAAUGUUGUAGAAAACUCACAUCUUUUAAAAAACUGGCAGUGACUGACUUUCUUCCUGUAGACUUCAGCUUGACUUUAUCACUUUUCCCAUUUUGCAGAUAGAUUUUAUACUUUUUCUCCCUCCUCAAUUUAAAAAUUAUUUUCAGUAUUAUAUAUUGCAUUUUUACUCUGACUGUUGUAACCACUGAACCACAAUAGGCUUAAAAGUUAUCCUUUUCAUGAAAUAUACCUUGUUAGCCAUCUAACAGAAUUUGUUUUCUUCCUCUCUAAAGCUUUCCUACUCUCACUUAAAAUUUCCCAUUUUUGGGGAACCACUGAUACCUCUGGGGUCAUCAUCCCCUCUCAUGACUCCUUGAGGUAGAGCAGUGAUGAGAAAGUCCUCUGUUUGCUGGUAGUAAAUUUAGUUGGGUCACUUGGAAUGCAUCACUCGGAAACCUCCACUCUCUGCUACAGUUAUUAUAAUCCUUUGCACGCCUGUGUCCGUUUCAUUUGCUUAAAUGCUAUCCAAUUACUUUGUUGAUAAUUAACAUAUUUUGCAUGGUUUUGCCUGGUGAUGUUCUUAAUCAUUCUGUUGCUAUUUCACCAAUAACUCAACAGUAUGUAACUGCACUCUGAUUCAGUAAUGUGAAGGAACAGAAUAUAACAGUUUGCUUUAAAUAACUAUCCUGGAUAUUAUACUAAUGCUUUCCUGUUGGCUGGCCAAGACAAAAGUAUUUCUGACUAGAAUGUGGCUUGUUUCUCCUGAACUUAAUGCUUAGACAGCAAGACUGGAGACCCUUCCCUCUUGUACAGGGAGGAAAGGGGGAGAAGCUCUGGAGAAGUCAGUAGCUGUGGGGAGCCGAGCUGCAAGAUUCCUAAGCCAUUCCCCACAGAGGACUGCCAUCUUCUGUUUAAGCCAUUUCUGUUUGCCCAGCCUAAGUUUAUAAAAAAACUGGGCAAAAGGUGAAGGGGGAAGAGAAGGGACCACACUGUACGAAGUGCCAUUGGCGUAAUCUUUUCAUAUGCUGUUGUGAGCUACCAAAAAUAUUUUAUAUAGUGUCCUAUUUGCUGGUGAAGAAUUGGAAAUGUCUGUGAUGUGUAUCUAAGGUACUUCAGAUAAGGAGUUUUUCUACUCCACGUCUUUGCCAUGAACAGCUACAAGCCAUGUUUGCUGUUACACAGGGAGUUAAUGGUAAUAGCUGCAUCUUCUAGGUUUAAAAUAAGUGAAUUCAGGCUUACCAGAGAAGGAUAAAGAAACCAACAGAGGUUCUUGAGCUACUACACAGCCCUCAAUGUGACUGUCCCUGCCUCUCUCUGGAUGUCAAGGCACUGCUUUUAUGAGAGUCACCAAAAGACUUCUGAGUACCAGGCUGUAUCUUUAUCCAUAGCUGGAAUAUCUCCUCCCUGCAGAGGAGCAGAACAGAAAAGAGUCUUCAUUCCUUUGCCCCCACUCCUCAAAAUUCAUACUGAUUUCCACAUCCUACCCUACUUUUCUCAGAAAAAAUUUCCAAGGAGAUGAAAAGCUCUCUACUAACAAGAAUUUGCUUCUCUGCUUUCAUGGCUGCUCUUGACAAAAAACAGCUUUCCCACCCUGUUGUUUAGAUUUCAUCAAAGUUUGCAAACCUGAAAUCCACCAUAGGAAUUUUAGUCCCCUCCUAGAAGCUGUUAUUCCAAGAGAGCUUAGAAAUUCAUCAGAGGAUCUGAAAAACACAUCAGCACUGGGAAUCCACAACUAGGAUUUCAUGCCAGAAAUAGGUGCCGCCUGAACUACUUUGCUUUUUCUAGGCAUUGCAGUGAAAUCACUGACAGGGAAUGGGGAAAUAAACUGUUCAGGAGAUUCCUCUGCUUUAAAUAUUGCUCUAGGUUUGAGGAGGAGAAUGGCAAUUACUGUCAGAGAUUCUCAGGGACUGACUUUAUCGCACAACUAAGCAUUGAGAACUCACUUCUGCAGAUACGAACAAAUUGGCUGUGACUACCUUGCUGUUACUGCAGUAGCACUGCAGCCAACAGAACUAAGCAUGCAAAUGUGAGACAUCAGGCAGACAUCUAGUAUUAAGUAUCCUGCUUUUUUUAAUGGGGCACAGGCUUGUGAAGAAACACAUGGCAAAACUGAAGGAAAAUUAUCUUGCCAAGCCUCAUGUUAUGCUAUUUGUAUAAAUCUUGAUAUGAACAAGCAGAAGGAAUUUGCUUGAACUUUUUUUGAAAAUUCAUACCUUGUGUUCUUGCUAUCAUCUGAGUGUUCCAGCUCUGCAUGUGGGAACCUGGUUCUGCUACCCUGCUGAGGGCUGCUAAGGAGAGCUCUGAUAUAAGCUUAUAAGCUUGCUCCCUUCUCUAGACUGGAUGUUCUCUGGUUGUGUCUUCCAGUGGAGUGAUGGUGAUGACACUGCAAACCCCUCUCUUCAAAAAAAAAAGGAGCAAACUCCCCCCUUAGGCCAAAAAUAUUCAGCAGCAACCUCAAACCUCCUGAGGCAAGAUUCACACAAGUGGCUCAAGUUUCAACUGCUUGAUGGUAUAGAACUGCAUGAACUUAAGCAGUUUCUCCACGGGGGAAUAUAAACAGCUCAACUCGAGGAAUGCAAACACCUCUUGUACAAAGUGUGACAUCACCACACAGAAGGCACUAUAUAAAAAAGCAGGUAGGACAUCUUGCUAAAUGUA